ACGAACGCUGGCGGCGUGCUUAACACAUGCCAGUCGCACGGAAAGGCCCUGCCUUUGUGGGGUGCUCGAGUGGCGAACGGGUGAGUAACACGUGAGUAACCUGCCCUUGACUUUGGGAUAACUUCAGGAAACUGGGGCUAAUACCGGAUAGGAGCUCCUGCUGCAUGGUGGGGGUUGGAAAGUUUCGGCGGUUGGGGAUGGACUCGCGGCUUAUCAGCUUGUUGGUGGGGUAGUGGCUUACCAAGGCUUUGACGGGUAGCCGGCCUGAGAGGGUGACCGGCCACAUUGGGACUGAGAUACGGCCCAGACUCCUACGGGAGGCAGCAGUGGGGAAUAUUGCACAAUGGGCGGAAGCCUGAUGCAGCAACGCCGCGUGCGGGAUGACGGCCUUCGGGUUGUAAACCGCUUUCGCCUGUGACGAAGCGUGAGUGACGGUAAUGGGUAAAGAAGCACCGGCUAACUACGUG
rnacentral:rRNA from 1 species